rnacentral:rRNA from 1 species
GACGAACGCUGGCGGCGUGCUUAACACAUGCAAGUCGAACGAUGAACUUGGAGCUUGCUCUGGGGGAUUAGUGGCGAACGGGUGAGUAACACGUGAGUAACCUGCCCUGGACUCUGGGAUAUCUUCGAGAAAUCGGAGCUAAUACCGGAUAGGACCUUGCACCGCAUGGUGUGGGGUGGAAAGUUUUUCGGUUUGGGAUGGACUCGCGGCCUAUCAGCUUGUUGGUGAGGUAAUGGCUCACCAAGGCGUCGAUGGGUAGCCGGCCUGAGAGGGUGACCGGCCACACUGGGACUGAGACACGGCCCAGACUCCUACGGGAGGCAGCAGUGGGGAAUAUUGCACAAUGGGCGCAAGCCUGAUGCAGCAACGCCGCGUGCGGGAUGACGGCCUUCGGGUUGUAAACCGCUUUUAGUAGGGAAGAAGCCUUCGGGUGACGGUACCUGCAGAAAAAGGACCGGCUAACUACGUGCCAGCAGCCGCCGCGGUAA